rnacentral:rRNA from 1 species
AGCUCCAGUAGCGUAUAUUAAAGUUGUUGCAGUUAAAAAGCUCGUAGUUGGAUUUCUGGUUAGAGUCGCCCGUCCCGCCGGCGUUAGUCGUGCGAGUGUCGUUGGUGUACUCGGCCAUCCGCCCAUCUCGUCCGCUGUACCCUUUAUUGGGCCGCAGUGUGCACGGUUGGGCCAUUUACUUUGAAAAAAUUAGAGUGUUUAAAGCAGGCAAAGCUGUGAAUACAUUAGCAUGGAAUAAUAAUAUAGGACUUUUGUUCUAUUUUGUUGGUUUCCUGAACGGAAGUAAUGAUUGAUAGGGACAGUUGGGGGUGCUAGUAUUCCGCGGCCAGAGGUGAAAUUCUUGGAUUCGCGGAAGACUAACUUAUGCGAAAGCAUUCACCAAGGAUGUCUUCUUUA